UAGAAUAGGCCUCGCGGUCUAAACCACAUUUCCUCUUGGCUGUGCGCCUCGUGCUGCACGCUGGAGGAAACACGUGAUUCUCACACCUGUGCACUCUUCAGAUGUGGAAACGCAUCUGCCUUUUUUUAAAUACAACGUCUACGAAUGUCGAGUUUCAAUCUUAAUUGAAAAAAUA
rnacentral:misc_RNA from 1 species